AGCCCCAUCGUCUAGUGGUCAAGGAUUCGGGGCUUUGGACCCCGAGACAGCAGUUCGAAUCUGCUUGGGGCUA
rnacentral:tRNA from 1 species